rnacentral:rRNA from 2 species
UGGCAGUCAGAGGCGAUGAAGGACGUGCUAAUCUGCGAUAAGCGUCGGUAAGGUGAUAUGAACCGUUAUAACCGGCGAUUUCCGAAUGGGGAAACCCAGUGUGAUUCGUCACACUAUCAUUAACUGAAUCCAUAGGUUAAUGAGGCGAACCGGGGGAACUGAAACAUCUAAGUACCCCGAGGAAAAGAAAUCAACCGAGAUUCCCCCAGUAGCGGCGAGCGAACGGGGAGCAGCCCAGAGCCUGAAUCAGUGUGUGUGUUAGUGGAAGCGUCUGGAAAGGCGUGCGAUACAGGGUGACAGCCCCGUACACAAAAAUGCACAUACUGUGAGCUCGAUGAGUAGGGCGGGACACGUGGUAUCCUGUCUGAAUAUGGGGGGACCAUCCUCCAAGGCUAAAUACUCCUGACUGACCGAUAGUGAACCAGUACCGUGAGGGAAAGGCGAAAAGAACCCCGGCGAGGGGAGUGAAAAAGAACCUGAAACCGUGUACGUACAAGCAGUGGGAGCACGCUUAGGCGUGUGACUGCGUACCUUUUGUAUAAUGGGUCAGCGACUUAUAUUCUGUAGCAAGGUUAACCGAAUAGGGGAGCCGAAGGGAAACCGAGUCUUAACUGGGCGUUAAGUUGCAGGGUAUAGACCCGAAACCCGGUGAUCUAGCCAUGGGCAGGUUGAAGGUUGGGUAACACUAACUGGAGGACCGAACCGACUAAUGUUGAAAAAUUAGCGGAUGACUUGUGGCUGGGGGUGAAAGGCCAAUCAAACCGGGAGAUAGCUGGUUCUCCCCGAAAGCUAUUUAGGUAGCGCCUCGUGAAUUCAUCUCCGGGGGUAGAGCACUGUUUCGGCAAGGGGGUCAUCCCGACUUACCAACCCGAUGCAAACUGCGAAUACCGGAGAAUGUUAUCACGGGAGACACACGGCGGGUGCUAACGUCCGUCGUGAAGAGGGAAACAACCCAGACCGCCAGCUAAGGUCCCAAAGUCAUGGUUAAGUGGGAAACGAUGUGGGAAGGCCCAGACAGCCAGGAUGUUGGCUUAGAAGCAGCCAUCAUUUAAAGAAAGCGUAAUAGCUCACUGGUCGAGUCGGCCUGCGCGGAAGAUGUAACGGGGCUAAACCAUGCACCGAAGCUGCGGCAGCGACGCUUAUGCGUUGUUGGGUAGGGGAGCGUUCUGUAAGCCUGUGAAGGUGUGCUGUGAGGUAUGCUGGAGGUAUCAGAAGUGCGAAUGCUGACAUAAGUAACGAUAAAGCGGGUGAAAAGCCCGCUCGCCGGAAGACCAAGGGUUCCUGUCCAACGUUAAUCGGGGCAGGGUGAGUCGACCCCUAAGGCGAGGCCGAAAGGCGUAGUCGAUGGGAAACAGGUUAAUAUUCCUGUACUUGGUGUUACUGCGAAGGGGGGACGGAGAAGGCUAUGUUGGCCGGGCGACGGUUGUCCCGGUUUAAGCGUGUAGGCUGGUUUUCCAGGCAAAUCCGGAAAAUCAAGGCCGAGGCGUGAUGACGAGGCACUACGGUGCUGAAGCAACAAAUGCCCUGCUUCCAGGAAAAGCCUCUAAGCAUCAGGUAACAUCAAAUCGUACCCCAAACCGACACAGGUGGUCAGGUAGAGAAUACCAAGGCGCUUGAGAGAACUCGGGUGAAGGAACUAGGCAAAAUGGUGCCGUAACUUCGGGAGAAGGCACGCUGAUACGUAGGUGAAGCGACUUGCUCGUGGAGCUGAAAUCAGUCGAAGAUACCAGCUGGCUGCAACUGUUUAUUAAAAACACAGCACUGUGCAAACACGAAAGUGGACGUAUACGGUGUGACGCCUGCCCGGUGCCGGAAGGUUAAUUGAUGGGGUUAGCGCAAGCGAAGCUCUUGAUCGAAGCCCCGGUAAACGGCGGCCGUAACUAUAACGGUCCUAAGGUAGCGAAAUUCCUUGUCGGGUAAGUUCCGACCUGCACGAAUGGCGUAAUGAUGGCCAGGCUGUCUCCACCCGAGACUCAGUGAAAUUGAACUCGCUGUGAAGAUGCAGUGUACCCGCGGCAAGACGGAAAGACCCCGUGAACCUUUACUAUAGCUUGACACUGAACAUUGAGCCUUGAUGUGUAGGAUAGGUGGGAGGCUUUGAAGUGUGGACGCCAGUCUGCAUGGAGCCGACCUUGAAAUACCACCCUUUAAUGUUUGAUGUUCUAACGUGGACCCGUAAUCCGGGUUGCGGACAGUGUCUGGUGGGUAGUUUGACUGGGGCGGUCUCCUCCUAAAGAGUAACGGAGGAGCACGAAGGUUGGCUAAUCCUGGUCGGACAUCAGGAGGUUAGUGCAAUGGCAUAAGCCAGCUUGACUGCGAGCGUGACGGCGCGAGCAGGUGCGAAAGCAGGUCAUAGUGAUCCGGUGGUUCUGAAUGGAAGGGCCAUCGCUCAACGGAUAAAAGGUACUCCGGGGAUAACAGGCUGAUACCGCCCAAGAGUUCAUAUCGACGGCGGUGUUUGGCACCUCGAUGUCGGCUCAUCACAUCCUGGGGCUGAAGUAGGUCCCAAGGGUAUGGCUGUUCGCCAUUUAAAGUGGUACGCGAGCUGGGUUUAGAACGUCGUGAGACAGUUCGGUCCCUAUCUGCCGUGGGCGCUGGAGAACUGAGGGGGGCUGCUCCUAGUACGAGAGGACCGGAGUGGACGCAUCACUGGUGUUCGGGUUGUCAUGCCAAUGGCACUGCCCGGUAGCUAAAUGCGGAAGAGAUAAGUGCUGAAAGCAUCUAAGCACGAAACUUGCCCCGAGAUGAGUUCU